rnacentral:lncRNA from 1 species
AUAAUAUCUGGUUUCUUUAUGUACGUAAAAAUCAGAUUUAAAAUUCAAAGCUGGGGCACCUGGGUGGCGCAGUCGGUUGAGCGUCCGACUUCAGCCAGGUCAUGAUCUCACGGUCCGUGAGUUCGAGCCCCGCGUAGGCUCUGGGCUGAUGGCUCAGAGCCUGGAGCCUGUUUCCGAUUCUGUGUCUCCCUCUCUCUCUGCCCCUCCCCCAUUCAUGCUCUGUCUCUCUCUGUCCCAAAAAUAAAUAAACGUUGAAAAAAAAAAUUUUUUUUAAUUCAAAGCUGGGGGUACUACUCAGCAAAGAAUGGACUACCUCACAUGCAUGGAUGUGUCUCACGAGUGAGACAGAAACCAGACAUGAUAGAGAACAUGGUGUGUGAUUCCUUAAAGUACCAAUGCAGGCAAAACUAAUCUCUGAGGUCAGAAGUCAGAAGAGUGGCUGGCUAUCUUGGGAGGGCGUAUCCUGCUGGUAGUGGGGUACAAGGGAGCCUUCUGGGUCACUGGAAAGGUUAUGAUUCCUGAUCAGGGUGUUAGUUACAUGGGUGGAUAUAUUUUGUGAGAAGUCAUGAUUGCAACUUUGGUGUGUGUGUGUGUGUGUUGUGUGUGUGUGUGUUAUAAUUCAAUUAAAAAAAUUGCUUAAAAAAAUUACAAAACUCGCCCUUCGAGGAUAUCUACUGAAAUCCAUAUGUUUAAAAUUAAGAAAAACAUGAGGCAGCAGAAAAUGAGAAGUUAGAGCUACGGCUUGAUUUCUGUUUUGUAUUCAUUUUACUCACCCGAAAGCUGCUCAAACAUCUGCUUUGGUCAGAGCUGUUGUAAAAGUGAUGGAAUCAAAAUUCCAAUCAGCUUUAUUUCAAAGGGGAUUUGACGGAAUCACACAGUCUAAGGAAAUGUUGAAAAACCACAUCUGGGAAAGAGCAGGGAUGCAGGCCAGUCUCAGGAAUGACCAAAGUCAGGUUCUCAAAGAGCAGGAGGACACUCUCCCUCGUCUCUGCGGCUCUGUCUGUACUAGAUUAGUUUCUUAUUCCAUGAAGCUCUGAAAGAUGGAAGAAAACUAGACCCAGUAUUUUAACAGAUCUUUCAUUUGAUUCUAUAUUUAAAGACAAUUAAAAGGCAUUUCUGAAUAAUGUCUCAGUACUGAAUCCUAGAAAAAGGGGCACAAUGAGUAUACAUAUUUGAAUGAGCAUUUAAAAUAAAUUAUUUUAAAGUUUCA